CUUGGACAACCUGGUGAAGUUGGUCAACACAAGAGGAGAGCUUGGACUAAUACUGAAAAGAAUUGUGUGGAUAAUUGUGAAGAUGUUGAUGCUGAACGUGAGUGUGUCAAGGGAGUGUGUAUCUACAUGGGUGAAGACCCUGGCAUGCUUAUCCGGGAGUAUGUGGUAUGUACUUUUUUUUUUUUCUUUUUUUUCCGGACUUUCCACAGUGUCAUAUUAUUUACUUGGCAUGAAAUGACUAACAUGGCUUCUUUUUUACAGGGCAUGGAAGAACAUGCCAUCAGUGAGACUGUUGAAGACACCACUGUUUGAAUUUAUCUUCUUAAAGAUCAAGCUUCAGCAGAUGAACAAAAGUUGUCCUUGCAAGCAUCAGGGUGGCGAAGAAUUUGGAUAAUGUAGCAUUUGCUGUGAUAAUGCUAUUUGGACUAAUGUAUACAUUAAACCUUGCCUACCCUGCGGACCUUUGCUACAACUUUGAUGUUUUCCAGAAGGUUUUCAUGGAACUGGAUGGAGCUAAACUCUCUAAAGUUCUUGCUUUCAAAAACCAUCUGUUUCAUUGAGAAGUCAGAGACUGCACUUCUGCAAUUCUUUGCAGUUUUUCAUUUUGUGUUCAGUAACGUUAUACUGCUUAUGUUUUUAUUGCUUUCCCCUCAUGUGACUGCAAUGCAGGAUGAUUUUUCCUUUUGGUAUCAUGUUGUAAGAAAUUUCUACUGACGAUUUUUAGCAAUAUGUUCUAAGUCAACCUUAAUGUCCUGCUUACAUGUUUAAAAUGAAGAUUAAAAUUCAUGUAGGUGUUUGGUAUUAGUUAUGUAACAAUGUCAUUUAAGGCUCAACUUAGUUGAAAUCUUAUACAGGUAAAUACUUGUACAGAAGCUGAAACUGUUGUCAAAUAGUACACAAGUUAUAUUUGUGUAAAUCUGUUUAUUCAUAAAAGCGUGUUGCUUUUUUUUAGGUAGUCUUAAUUUAGUUUACAUUUUCAAUUGUGUAAUUAAUACAAAUGUUAUAUGUAAGAGAUGACAGGAUCAUCUAUAAGCAAUUUCUUUUAUUUGCUGCUAAGGUCAGUUUUUUGUGAAAUAUUUGCAAAUAUAUUCUCAAACUAACUUUUUCUUUCAGUUAUUUCUGCAGGCUAUCUUUAAAAAUGUGUUAACAAGUUUAUAUGGAUGUGAUUUUGGACUUGUUCAUGGCAGAAUUGCUGCU
ensembl:lncRNA